AGCGAACGCUGGCGGCAGGCCUAACACAUGCAAGUCGAACGAACUCUUGGAGUUAGUGGCGGACGGGUGAGUAACACGUGGGAACGUGCCUUUAGGUUCGGAAUAACUCAGGGAAACUUGUGCUAAUACAGAAUGUGCCCUUCGGGGGAAAGAUUUAUCGCCUUUAGAGCGGCCCGCGUCUGAUUAGCUAGUUGGUGAGGUAAAGGCUCACCAAGGCGACGAUCAGUAGCUGGUCUGAGAGGAUGAUCAGCCACAUUGGGACUGAGACACGGCCCAAACUCCUACGGGAGGCAGCAGUGGGGAAUCUUGCGCGAUGGGCGAAAGCCUGACGCAGCCAUGCCGCGUGAAUGAUGAAGGUCUUAGGAUUGUAAAAUUCUUUCACCGGGGACGAUAAUGACGGUACCCGGAGAAGAAGCCCCGGCUAACUUCGUGCCAGCCGCCGCGGUAA
rnacentral:rRNA from 1 species